GGUCUGUGGCUCAGUGGUAGAGCGCUCGCCUAGCAUCCAUGAGGCACUGAGUUUGAUCCUCAGCACCA
rnacentral:tRNA from 1 species